AUGUUGUUUACAGUUAGAAGUGACAUAUUGUUGUUUUGUUGUUUACAGUUAGGAGUGACAUAUUGUUGCUAUGUUGUUUACAGUUAGAAGUGACAUAUUGUUGUUUUGUUGUUUACAGUUAGGCGUACCGUACAUUACGGCGGUAAAGGUGGAUAUUAUUGAACACAUGAACUCUGUCGCUCUCCCACAUGCGGGACCGGAUAACACAGACAUUAACAACACAGACACGGCGCGAGAAACAUGCGAAUGGACUUGAAUUAUGUGGACACAUGAUUUUCACGUGCAGUAUUUACGUGGAUCACAGGAACUAUCGUCAGACAUGGGCUUUAUUAAUAAAAGAAGUAUACAGAAAA